GACGAACGCUGGCGGCGUGCUUAACACAUGCAAGUCGAACGGAAGGGCCCUGCUUUUGUGGGGUGCUCGAGUGGCGAACGGGUGAGUAACACGUGAGUAACCUGCCCUUGACUUUGGGAUAACUUCAGGAAACUGGGGCUAAUACCGGAUAGGAGCUCCUGCUGCAUGGUGGGGGUUGGAAAGUUUCGGCGGUUGGGGAUGGACUCGCGGCUUAUCAGCUUGUUGGUGGGGUAGUGGCUUACCAAGGCUUUGACGGGUAGCCGGCCUGAGAGGGUGACCGGCCACAUUGGGACCGAGAUACGGCCCAGACUCCUACGGGAGGCAGCAGUGGGGAAUAUUGCACAAUGGGCGGAAGCCUGAUGCAGCAACGCCGCGUGCGGGAUGACGGCCUUCGGGUUGUAAACCGCUUUCGCCUGUGACGAAGCGUGAGUGACGGUAAUGGGUAAAGAAGCACCGGCUAACUACGUG
rnacentral:rRNA from 1 species